CUUGAUCGAGUGACUUUAUUCGGAUAACCNUNAAAAAUUCUAGAGCUAAUACGUGCUAAAAGCCUUGACUUCCAGCAAUGGGGGAAGAGGUGUAUUUAUUAGAGACUAAAACCAAUCAGCUUCGGCUGUCUAAGGUGAUUCAUAAUAACUUGGCAAAUUACGGGAAAAUUCCUGUGAUGUGUCAAACGGAUUUCUGACCUAUCAACUUUAGAUGGCAAAGUAGGGGUUUGCCAUGGUGACAACGGGUGACGGGGAAUUAGGGUUCGAUUCCGGAGAGGGAGCCUGAGAAACGGCUACCACUUCCAAGGAAGGCAGCAGGCGCGCAAAUUACCCAAUGCCAAUUCGGCGAGGUAGUGACAAGAAAUACCAAUGUAGGACCCAACGGGUACUACGUUUGGAAUGAGAACAAUUUAAAAACCUUAACGAGGAACAAUUG
rnacentral:rRNA from 1 species